rnacentral:rRNA from 1 species
UACGUAGGGGGCAAGCGUUGUCCGGAAUCAUUGGGCGUAAAGCGCGUGUAGGCGGCUCGAUAAGUCUGCUGUGAAAGUCCAGGGCUCAACCCUGGAAUGCCGGUGGAAACUGUCGAGCUAGAGUCCGGAAGAGGCGAGUGGAAUUCCUGGUGUAGCGGUGAAAAUGCGCAGAUAUCAGGAGGAACACCAAUGGCGAAGGCAGCUCGCUGGGACGGUACUGACGCUGAGACGCGAAAGCGUGGGGAGCAAACAGG